GAGAGAGGGAGGACACUCUUCCGCCAGAGUACCGAUUCACAGAAGACAAACUGAAAGAGUUUCCUGCCCCCAAGAAAGAGCCUUCGAUGGAUGCAGGAGAAGCUCUGGACCUUCUGUCUGGGGAUUUUGUUUCUCCCGUCGCUGCCCCUGACCCUCCUAAACAGGUCU